UGUUGGACUAUGUUGACAAUGCUAGGUUUUGAUGGUGUUAAUGUUAUGUUUUUUGGAGGAUUCUGGGGAGAUGCUCUUGGAGAGAAAAUUAAGUCCAUAUUUUUGCUUUGCUAGGAAAGGAAAAAGAAAUGCAAGGGAACCGAUUACUGGAUAGUGUGGGGAAAAGCAACCUACAAAUUGUUAGAAAUUGUUGACAGCAAAAACUGUAGCCUACUUUGCUCGAGCUAUCAAACCAUAAAGCCAGCAUUAUUAGACUUCACAGACAUUCAGUCACCUUUUAUAAUAUCAUCUGACUACACAAUGCAUUAGUUUUUUUGUGUUGUGCAACUGCACAAGGUGUUUUUGAUUAAGCUUUUCAUAUUACAACCCACAGUGGGCAUUACAGUGCAGUGCAACAUCCAGACAUCCAUUUUCUAUAGUGCAUAUCCUACAGGGUCGCGGGGAACCUGGAGCUUAUCCCAGAGAGCAUCGGGCACAGGGAGGGGUACACCCUGGACGGGGUGCCAAUCCAUCGCAGGGCACAAUCACAAACACAUUCACACAUCCAUUCAUACACUACGGACACUUUAGAUAUGCAUGUCUGGGAGGAAAUGGGAAUACCCGGAGGAAACUCUCAGCCAUCUGAGUGAGCGAUAAUGGGGAGAACAUGCAAACUCCGCACACAUAGGGUCACGCCAACCCUGGAGGUGUGAGGCAAACGUGCUAACCACUAAGCAACUGUGCAUACCGUGCAACAGUAAAUAUAAAUUAUUGCUCACUCAGAUGGCUGAGGCCAGACUUUUCAGAAUAGGCUGAGACCAAUACCCAGAGUCUAGCUUUUAAAUGAUGAUCAUGAUGAAAAUGUAAUGGUUUAAAUAUAAAUGUCUAAUAGUUCCACACAAGGGGCCUAAUUUAUACAUUUUGUUAGUAAAAAACAAAAACAAAAAAAAAAAGUUAGUUUUGGAAGUGCUGAUUUUCUUUCUUAUUUAAAUGCAUGUUGAUCUCCCGUAAAGGGCAAAGCACAUUCUCAACACAGCUCAUUCGCAUUUAGUGACACCCACAACUCCAUAAAAGGUCAAGUGCACAGAGGGAUGGAAACACAAAAUGACUAGUAAAAAAAUGAAUGAAAAAGGAGAAGGCAGAAGUGGGAGUUAUUUUAGACUCACCUUUAUGCUAAUAAAAAUAUUUAUCAGUGUGACAGUGUAACCUGAAAAGGUCAAAUUUUAGAUACAGAUUACAGAAAAGGUGAGUUAAGUGGGAAUCAAGGUGACAAGAAAAUGGUGUGACAUGAAAAUGGAUUAGAAAAAAAAGAUCUACACUGUAUCCAGGAGGAACACCAAGCACAUCACACAGGGCAACUGUAACCGGUUAAAUUGUUUUAUGCAUCUCGGCUGACAUGCUGGAUCUGAAGUGUUGCACAGCAUUAAAAGAAGCUGCUGUAGCAAACAGAACCAUUUUGUAAACCAACUUUAAACAUCCUUUUCCUAAGCUGGACAAUUAAAUUUCCCAUCGAUAUGGACAUUUGUUUUAUGGCAUACGGCUAUGUGCAGACAGACCAGCCUGUUAUCCUUUUAUACAGCAGCAUUUCUACUGUCAUAAUUGAAUGACUUGUUUUAUAUAUUUGUCUUUGUUUAUGGCUUUGUGUUUCUUUAUUUUUCAUAUUCCUUUAUUAAUGCAUAUAACAUAAAACAAAAUAUUCUCAAUGGAAUUCUUAGUCCAAUUCUUGACCUAGCAUGAGGAUAUGUUGUGCAUAAAUUUACACACACUCGGGAGCACAAGUAGGACAUGAACUUUUUCCAAAUUUAAGGGAUUUUAUGAAUAUCAAAUUUCUUGUGUAAAUAUUCUUAUGAAUGCUGUGCUUUUAACUUCAGUCAUUAACCAGGUAAGUUCUAUAGUGCAAUGAAUGCAUUAUGGGCUUUAUGUUGCAUGAACGGUUUAAUGACCAUUUCACCUUUGGAAAUGUUGGACUAAAUGAUCAUUUUCUACAACACAAAGUAAACAGACUUCCAUUUACAGUUCAGCUUUUUAUGCAUUUAAUCAACAGAGUAAAUACGUCAGAAACAAGCUUAUCAGUAUUUACACAUUCAUACUUCUCACGUACUUAAUUAUUUUAAUGAUGUGGAACUAAAUUAUUUUUCCAGAGGUUAUAGCAUUUGGAAUGUAUAAAAGGCUACUGCAGCUGCUUCUAAAGCAGCCAACUCUUUUAUUCCAUCAAUGCUACAGCACCAUAGCUGCAUAAGUCUGUGUUAGAUGAAGAUGAAGAUACAACUGUUUGCACUGAUUUUCCUGGGCUUGGGUGGUAUGCUUGCAGUCAGUGCACGAUCAGUUGAUGACAGUUCAGCAGAUGAUGACCAAAUCCUGGUGCGCCGCUAUGCU